rnacentral:hammerhead_ribozyme from 1 species
AUCCAGCUGACAAGUCCCAAAUGGGACGAAACGUGUGUCCUGGAU